CGCAUAGUGGGAGUACUCCUUCUAGGCUAAAUAUCUACCACUGAAGACCGAUAGCGAACAAGUACCGUGAGGGAAAGUUGAAAAGCACUCUGAAUAGAGAGUCAAAUAGUACGUGAAACUGUCUAGGGGCUCAAACCUAAAGAACCCAAAUAUCUAAACGGAAAAAUUCAAUAUUACCUGUUAAAACCGUAAUGUGCACUUUUCUCUUAGUAAGACGCCGUGAUUCAUUACAAAUUGAUGUACGCCAAGUGCAUAGUGGGUCAUCAAUAGGCCAAUAUGAACUUUAUUGGAACAAAUGGCAUAAUCUUUAACGAUUUUGUGUAUUGUCUGGUAAGCAUAUUGUGUCCUGCAAUGACUGUCUGAUGAGUUUUAAAGAUCUGCCAUUAACAAUGUCUUGUGCAUUGGCGCUUGUCGCAAAUAAUGGAUGUAUCUGAUCGACGGCGGUUAAAUUUGGGAUACCUUUUGGACCCGUCUUGAAACACGGACCAGGAAUUCACAACC
rnacentral:rRNA from 1 species